GGAGAGGUGCUAGAGCGGCCGAAUAGGCGCGACUGGAAAUCGCGUGUCUCGUUUAUGCGGGACCAUGGGUUCGAAUCCCAUCCUCUCCGCCA
rnacentral:tRNA from 1 species